AUGAUGAUGAUCAUAGUCAUUCUCGCGAGUUUUCUUUUCAUUUCUUUGUUAGUGAUCGUUAAGAAGCUAUGUUGGACUCCAUUUCAUGUACAAUUUAUGAUGAAAUCUCAAGGUAUACAAGGUCCUCCUUACAAGUUCCUACAUGGAAACUUCAAAGAGAUAGAGGAAAUGAAAAAAGACUCCAUAAACGACGCCAUGGAUCACUUAUCACAUGACAUAUUUCCAAGAAUUCUACCUCAUAAAUUUUCUUGGAAGAAACUAUAUGGGCCAAAUUUUCUCUACUGGUAUGGACUGCAACCUGAACUAGUAGUGACUGAACCAGAACUUCUCAAAGAAAUACUCAGCAAUAGAAACAACAAUUAUCCCAAAAUGGAUCUUGAAGGCUUUACCAAGAAGCUUUCUGGAGAGGGGGUUUCGUCAUCUAAGGCGAAAAAUGGGUAAAAAUGAGGAAACUUGCCAACCAUGUUUUUCAUGGAGAAAGCCUAAAAAGUAUGAUUCCGGUGAUGACUAUGAGUUGUGAGACUAUGCUCGAACGAUGGAAGAUUUAUGAAGAUAAAGAAAUUGAAGUGUUUGAAGAGUUUAGGCCAUUAACAUCAGAAAUCAUUUCCAAGACUGCUUUUGGUAGUAAUUACUUAGAAGGAAAGAACAUAUUUCAAAU